rnacentral:rRNA from 1 species
AUUGAACGCUGGCGGAAUGCUUUACACAUGCAAGUCGAACGGUAGAGGGGGCAACCCCUUGAGAGUGGCGAACGGGUGAGUAAUAUAUCGGAACGUGCCCAGUCGUGGGGAUAACGUAGCGAAAGUUACGCUAAUACCGCAUACGAUCUAUGGAUGAAAGCGGGGGAUCGCAAGACCUCGCGCGAUUGGAGCGGCCGAUAUCAGAUUAGGUAGUUGGUGAGGUAAAGGCUCACCAAGGCGACGAUCCUUAGCUGGUCUGAGAGGAUGAUCAGCCACACUGGGACUGAGACACGGCCCAGACUCCUACGGGAGGCAGCAGUGGGGAAUAUUGGACAAUGGGCGAAAGCCUGAUCCAGCAAUGCCGCGUGAGUGAUGAAGGCC